AUGUUGCAUGAAAGGCAAGGUUAGCACUCCACUGGACAAGGAUGGAAGAGACCCUCAGGCUUGACAACAUGCACACAGUUAAGGCACUGCCAUAUAACCAUGGUUUUUU
rnacentral:ncRNA from 1 species